rnacentral:lncRNA from 1 species
CCUUAAAAAAAAGGAUUCAUUGUUUACACGUUCCUACAAAUAUGAUGAAUUAUAGAUAUAUUCCUGCAAAGCUCAACUUUCAUAAGUUAUUUCUACAAAAGUCCUAAUGUAUUCAGAUAUAUUCCCUCUGGUUAAGAUCCGUUAGAGAGCUAUUAAUUUUUUAAUAGUAGCGUUGUGAAAUGACAAUUUUGCUCUUACCCUUUUC